GCGGAGGUUGCCAAGCCUGGUCAAAGGCGUAGGACUUAGGAUCCUAUUCAGUAGUGAUUCGCGAGUUCAAAUCUCGCCCUCCGCACCA
rnacentral:tRNA from 1 species